GCCGUCAAAAUGCUUAAUCCUGACUUUACAGGAGCGGAGGAACCAUUUUUUUGAGGCGGAUCGCUUUUGGCGUAAGGCAACCUCUUCGGCCCGAGCCCUUCAGCUAACUUCGCAGGCUUCGAUGAGGAGACCC
rnacentral:sRNA from 2 species